rnacentral:lncRNA from 1 species
GAGUGCAAGUAUGAUCGAGAACUUUAUGAGGCUUUGUGGUUGAAAUGAAACCAUGUGAGAGGACAGGACACCAACUGCUGUCAAGAAUAUACAUAUAUUCAUCCAAAGAAUUAAAUGCAGCGGCAGCAUUUCACAUUGACAGUAGCCAUCUCCAUCACAAAGUAUCACUCUCGAAUACAGAUCCUAAAAUAUCCCGCAAGAACAACUAGAAUUAGA